rfam:Trichobilharzia regenti genome assembly, scaffold: TRE_scaffold0010054
AGUUAGCUGGCGAGUCCCAAAUAGGACGAAAUGUGCAUGCUGGAU